rnacentral:lncRNA from 1 species
GUAUACAAUAUACAAAUAGUUAUCAUGUAUGUACACAUAAUUACUUUCUUACUAUAUAUAUAAUUAAUUUAAUAAAUAUUGUAAUUUAAUUUAUUUGCAGGUUAUGCAAAAGACUCAAAGAAAAAUGUUUGGGUAGAUAAGCUUGAUGGUACCCAAAGAACCAAGGAUAUAAAACCUUUUGAUCCAAAUAAGCCCAUUGGUGCGGGAAAUAAAACAAGGGAAGAAAGGAUGAUGGAAAAGGAGGCAAAGAAGAAGGAAAAGGAAAAGAUAGAAAAGAAUCAUGGGAAAGGGAAAGGGAAAUGAUAGGCCAAUUAACCCUAAAAACUAGAUGCACAACUUAUAUCUCAUGCUUAUGCAUUAUUAGUUGUUAAAAAAUAUAUAUAUAUAAUAAAACAUACACUAUAAUCAUUACAUGAUUGGGUGAAUGAAUAAUAAUAAUAAUAAUAAGAUUGAUGUUGUAUACCUUUCAAAAAAAUAUUGAUGUUUUCUAUACCAUCUAUAAUUGUUUUGGUAAACUUAUGUACGUGAUAAUUUAUUUUUAUUAUAGCAGAUUCGUCUCUUUAAUCUAAUGUAGUUCCUUAAUUUAUCAUUCACGCAAAACUAAUUAAUUAUUUUUUAUUAACAAAUGUUAAAGUGAAAAUCCAUCUUGAAUUAUUAUUAAUAGUUUUAAUUUUUUACAAUAAUUUUUAUUAAAAAUAAUGCAAUUCAUGAUCAUCUUCUUUCAAUAAAUAUUAGAUUUAUCAUACCCAUUAGACAAACAACUUUUUAAAACUGAACCUAAGAAAUAAGAAUUCAAAUUUAUGAUUAUAAAUGAACAAAGAGUAGAAAUAUACCGAUACAAAAUAUCCCAUCCUACGAAAUAAAAUUAUUCACCCGAGAACUAAACCAUUUGAAUUUAUAAAGGUCAAAGAUUAAACCAUUUGAAUUUGUCCCAAAGAAACAUUUGAAUUCUUAUUUCUUUGAAUUUCUCAAUGUUAGUAUGUUAUUAUAAUUUUUUAUUUCUAUACUAAUUCUUAUUUCUUAGUAUGUCUAGUCUUCUAUAGUUUCACUUGCUUACGGUUUAAAGGCUAAUUUUUAAAAGAGUCUUCUUUUGGGGAUCAAUGUGAAUGAUUCUUGGUUGAAGAGGCGAUAGAGAUAUUGUAUCACUCCAAAUUUUAUAAUAAAUUAUUUUACUAAUGAAAUAUAAUUUUAAAUAAUUAAGUUGAUGUUAAAUUUUUUUUAAGAUAUAUGUUAAUUAAAUUUAGGAUUAAUUUUUUUAUAUGAUGUUUUAAUCUUGUAAAUGUUAGACUAAAUGAGUGAUAUAAAUAUCAAAUAUUAUAUUUUUAUAUUUUUCUAAAAACAAUAAUAUUUUAUAUGUUAUAAGAUUUAAGGUGAUUCUACUUGCAUAUGUGCGAUUUUAGUUAAUUUGAUAUUUCCUUGUAUGCUGGCUAAGGUUAAGUGUGCACACAAUUAUAUUUAAUUAUUUUUAAAUAUAUUUUAUUUUAAUUAAUUAUUUUACAAAAUAAUAUCUUGAGAUAUUAGUAAUAUUGAUAUUGAUUUUCUUUAUUUCUAUAUUGUUAUUACGGUUUGAUGAUUUUAUACAUAUUCCUUUUGAUUUAGUAAUUAAUAUAAAUCGUUGAUGUUAUAUUUAUUUAUUUUAUCAUUUCGACUAUUCUGUAAAGAUGAUGCAUUUUUAUGUGAUUAUUUCAAAAAAUAUUAUAGUAAUAAUUAUAAUUACUAUUUUGAGUAUGAGAGUUUUUAUUAAAAUUUGAUUUAUUUAUUUUACGGAAAAAUAAUAUUAUGUUAAAAAGUGUGUUUUGGAGAAAAAGUCUUUAGUGUGGAUAAGUAAAAUAAAUUAUUUAUUAAGGACUUUUAGAAAUACUAGAAAAUGAAUUUUGGACUAGAUGACUAUUUACACCCCUAUUGUUUUACUUCUGCAUAUUAAUUUGAGCUAUUACUGGUUGAACUUUUAUUUCCUACACCAGUUGCCUCAUAUGUGUACAUCUGCUAUCUGCAUUCAUCCUUCUGCAAUUAAAAAAAAUAAAAAAACGAAAAUCAUACUAAUGGCAGCCAAACAAUUUUUUUCUCUCAAAUUCACUCCGACCAAUUCUUUGUCGUUUGAAUCUAUCCCAACCUCUGUCCCACACAAAAUUGGCCACAUAAUUCAUUUUUGGCAUCAAUUUUAUCGGUCGUGGCUCCAUUUCAUGAGAAACAACUAUGUUUCUUUCGUUAGGAGAGCUGUUUUUGGCCAAUUUUGAUCACCAUGUUUGUCGUCUAAAAAAAAUGGUAUCGUUUUUGGAUUUCUCUCGUCGAAACCUUCAACAAGCACUAUUCAUUUGUAUUUUUCGGUAAAGUUGGCAUCGAACUCUUCUGGAGCUCCUAUGAGUCGAUGAGACGUUUUUUUUUGUAGUCUUUCUUAUUGUUUUGAUUCCAUUUUGACUACCUAAAAUUAUUAUUAAUUAUUUAACAACUAUUGUUAUGUUCCAUAUAAUUUAUCAGUCGCGUCUCGCGAAUUUGUGAACUCGCUCGUUUAUUCGAAUUCGCACGUUGUACCUUGUCGGUCUGCAGUUGCGGUUGAAAACUUCCAUUAAUAUCAAUGUUUGAGAAAACGUUGAAAGAAUGUUUCAAUUCAUGAAUAUAACAUAUUUUGAGAUGAACGGGAAAACUAAAUUUCCCAACAAUUUUGAGAUGUACGGCAGUAGCCUUUUGAGGGAUAAAUUAAUUAAUAUGAAAAUAUGAAAAUUGUGAGAAUAAAAUGUGAAAUGUACAUAUUUAUAAGGUGUUGAUUGAUUUAAUUUUAUUAAAUGUGUCAUAUUUGAUAUUGUUGUGAUAUUGACGUAUUUUUGUGAUAAUAAAAUAUUAAUUUAAUUUGAUAAAUUUAUGUGAUUAUGAUGAUGUAUAAUUAAUAAGAGUGAUGUAAUAAAUUUGUAAUAAGUUUAUGUGAUGAGAUAUGAUUAACGACAGUGAUGUUGUGAAUUUCUGACGAGAAUAUUGAAGUGACCCCAUAGUUGGUGAAAUAGUUGCAAUUCCAAUUUGUGUUUGAAAUGACGGUCUUAAUAGACUAUCAUAGGCCAAAGAUGGAAGAAAAUAAAUAUUAAAAAUAUUUGAAGUGGAGAUUAGUUUGUCAUAAUAUAAGUAAGGUCUUACAAGCCUAGUGAUUUCGGGAAAGUACAACUGAAUGAGUUUGAUCGUGACAGUCUGAUGUGAGCCUUAAAGCAAAAUUGUUAGACCUUGGAGAUAUUUUGGAGGAGAAUUCCUACUUGACUAGAAGGAUAUCAGUCCAAAUGUCGACAGCUACCAUGCAACACACAUUUACCUCGGCUGUCGCAUAUAUGUGUCUUGGGUUGAGUUGAGAGGAUCUACAAGGACACAAUCAAUUUGAAAUGUCCGUCCACCUGGAUGGUGUCAUAGUAUCAAGCCGCCUAACCAAGUAUUUCAUAGUUAAAAUGGUACCAAAUUGGGAAUUAGAGUCUAAGCUCAUGCAUAACAUUGCAUUUUCUUGUAAUUGUUUUGGUGUGAUUAAUAGGUACCGUGUGCGAUAAUAGUUUCUCUUAGUUGAUUUGAUGUAAUAGUAAAAUGUAUUGAUUUUCUUUGAGUGUUUUUGACUUUAUAAUGUGAGGUAUUUCCUUGAACAAUCUCUGUGUAAUGAUAUAGUUUAUUUAUGAAUAAUUGUGUAUUUUUCUUACGUACUUUUAUUAUACUAUUAACAUGAUUUUAAAACUCACCUCCUCGCGGUUAUUAUAGGUUAAUGAGUCUUGAAGUUCAAGUUGGGAUAAACCUCACUCUCAUAGGUGAUAUCGUGAAUAUGAGUUUUAAAUUGUAUUUUACUUUUCCAUUUUUUUUUAUUAGAAAUGACUUUUUGUAUGAAAAUCUUAUAAGUACUAGUAAGUUUUUGGAAUUAAAUUAAGAAAUUUUAGUUUAAUCAAGUGUAUGGAGAUUGCAUCUUUUAUAAGAGGAAAGAGUUUAAAGUGUUUCUUUUGAAUUUUGAGAAAUGUGAUAUCAUAAAUUAAUUAUAAAAGUUUUUUAUUUACUUGAAAAUAUAUUUUCUUUAUUCGCUGCUAAUGUACCAAAAACAAAAAAAUCAACUGUAAAUUAUUAUAUAUUAUUUUGGGAUUUAGGAUGUCACAUUAGUGAUAUCAGAGCAUGGUUGUCCAAUCAGACUGAGUGGGUCGAGUGUCGAUUCAUUAGUCGAAUGUUAGUCAUGUCGGUUGUGUAUUAAUAUUUUUCAAUAUCAUAUUUUUUUUUCUACUUAUAUUAUUGUGUUAUGCACAAUAUGCUUUUGAUUACUUAUAAUAUUUUUGAAGUUACUAAUUAACUAUUUAUUGUUGGCUUAUUUUGAUUGUACUGCGCAUUCUUAAUUUAUGUCUAAGAUUUUAGACGAUUCUACGUGCAUAUGUGCGUUUGUACUUAAUUUGAUAUUUUCUUGUAUGCUGACAAAUGUUAAGUGUGCACAUAAUUAAAUUUAAUUAUUUUUAAAUGUAUCUUAUUUUAAUUAAUUAUUUUAUAAAUAAUUAUCUAGAGAUAUUAGUAAUAUUGAUAUUGAUUUUCUUUAUUUCUAUUUAGUUUUUAUGGUAUGAAGAUUUUAUACAUAUUUAUUUUGAUUUAGUAAUUAAAAAUAAUUAUUAAUUUAUAUUUAUUUAUUUGGUCAAUGUGACUAUUCUAUAAAGAUGAUGUAUUUUAUGUGAUUAUUUUAAAAAAUGUUAUACUAAUAAUUAAAGUUAUUAUUUUGCGCAUGAAAGUUUUGAUUAAAAUUGGAUUUAUCUAUGUUAAGGAAAAAUAAUAUUAUGUUAAAACGAGUCUUUUAAAGAAAAAGUUUCUAAUGUGGUUAAGGAAAAUAAAUUAUAUAUUAAGGACUUUUAGAAAUAUUAGAAAAUAAAUUUUGGACCAGACGAUUGUUUACAGCACUAUUUUCUAUUUCUGCAUAUUAAUUUGGGCUAUUACUGGUUGGACUUUUAUGUUGCGAGGAUAACUCUAUCCUGCACCCCCAUACCUAAACUUGUCAACCCCUCAAGACACAUGAAAAAAUAAUUUUACCCUUUUAACCAUUUAUAAUAAGUUUCAAAAUUGUUAGUUUCGGAAAUUAUAAAUUUGCGAAACUUUCUAAAUUUUCAAAUUCUUGAAAUAAAGAUUGCAUUUCAAAAAUUUGGAAAGUUUUCAUAUUUGGAAAUUUUCAAAAUAAGGAUUACAUUUCAAAAAUUUGGAUUGUUCCGAAAGUUUUCAAAUUUGAAAAUUUUGAAAGUUUCUAAAUCUAGAAAGUUUCAAAAAAUGUAUAUGUCGAAAGUUUUGAAUUGUUUGAAAGUUUUGAAAAAUCUAGAAUUUUCUAUUUCAAAAGUUUUGAAUUUUUCUAAAGUUUCAAAUUGUUCUAAAUAGGAGAAUUUAUAUUCGUUCCCAAGUAAUUGUAUAUCAUUACUUGCUUCUUCACUAUUCAUGAUAAAUAAGUAUGAUAAUAAUCUAAAUAUUUCAAUUAUAGGUGUUGUGCAAGAAAAAUGAGAUAUUAUAAUUUUUAGGAUUUGGAUAUAGAUUUGAGAAUUUAGGAUUUGAAGAUAAAAAAAUUAGGAUUGAAGAUGAAUGUUGUUGAGUUUUUAUUAAAAAAUUUGGGGUUGAAGAUGAAGAUUAUUGAGUUUUUAUUAUUUAAUUGGUUUAUUAUGAAUUAGUUUUAAAAUUUUAAUUAAAUGAUUAAAUGAGUUAAUAAAAUGAAUUUUAAUUUUAAAUAUUAAAUAAUGUCUAGUCAACAACAAUCAAACGGUCACCACGUGACACUUCAUCAAAAAUUAGUGAUGUCACAGUUUUUUUACUAAAAAAGAUUUAGAAAUGACUUUAUUAAAAUUUGUUAGCAUUUGCAAGGGUAUAAAUCAAAAAAAAAAUUAUAGGGACUAAUAUGAAAACAAAAUAUAUUUACAAGGACCAAAAACAUAUUUAAGCCAAUUUUUUAUGUUUGAGUUUGAUCUUUAUGAUAGUCUAGGACGACUUGUUAGUCUAUUUCAUAUUAAUAUGUUUAAAUAAUUGUUUAGAAACGAUUUUUAGUAGAUUAAGAAACUAAUAUGUCCACAAAUUUUAUUUUAUUUUUAUUUUUAUUUUUAUAUUUAUAUUUACGCGAAUUCUUAAAGAAUUUAAUUUUAUAUAACAUAUUAUUUCAUUCUUUUUUUAUGAUGAUAUAUUUAAAUGUGACAAAAUUUAAUGUAAAAUAACAUAAUUAAAUUACUUAAAUGUUAAAAAAUUUAUAAAUUGUCAUAAAAUACAAAAUAUAUUAUAUAAUAAUAAUAAUAAAAUAUAUAAUUUAUAUUUACUUAAUUAAGUCAGUCUAAUAAGCCAAAAAACUAUUUUAUGACUUGUAGUAUGACUUUUAUUUAUUUAUUUUAUAAAAAUUCUAGUUUGGUAUAGACUUGUAGUAGGAUAGGCCAUAGGACUCUAUUGGGCGGCGUGGUAGAAAGGAAAACAACAACUCAAUUAAGUCUAAGGAUUCAAUAAUUAAAUCUAUCGAAAACUAAAUUCAUAGCAUAUAUCUCAUGCUCAUGUAAUAACUAAUGUGUUAAAAAAUGUAAAAUAGAGCAUAGACAAUAAUCGAAAACAACACGUCAAUUAAGUCUAAGGAUUCAAGAAUUAUAUCUAUUGAAAACUAAAUGCAUAGCAUAUAUGCUCAUGUAAUAACUGAUGUGUUAAAAAAUGUAAAAUAGAGCAUAGACUAUAAUCAUUGCAUGAAUAAAUUAUAAAAAGAUUGAUGUUGUAUAUCCUGAAAGCAUGAAUAUGCUGAAACAACAUAUUACGUUGCACAACAUAAAAUUACUCAACCAAAUAAUAAAUCAAUUGAAUUUAUGUAGAUCAAAGAUUUUGAGUUUGCCAAAAAAAUAUAUUUAAAUUUAUAAAGAUAAUCAGAUUACUCAAUCAAAUAAACUAAGCAAAAAACUCAAAGACAGAGCUAGAAGAAGGACCAUCACUGGCCAUACCCAUGGUCCCACAAAUUUUAUAAAUAUUAUUAAUAUAUUAUUAUAAUUUUUAUCUUUAUACUCAUUUUUUAUUAAAUUUAUAUAACAUUUUAUAAUAUGUCUUUUUUAUUCAAUAUAUUGAAUGUUAUAUAAUUAAAAAAAAAUUAUUCUGUAAUUGUAACUAUAUAAUAUUACUAAAUUGUAUAGAUUAUUUCGUAUAAAACCAUAUAAAAAAAAGUGACUUGAUUAAAUUACCCCAUAGAAAUAGAGUAUAAUACCCUAAAUUUUAUAAGAAACUAUUUUAUUAAUUAAAUAGGAUUUUAAAUAAUUAAUUUGAUGUUAAAAUUAUUUUAAUCUUUAUACUUAUUUUUCAUUAAUUUUAUAUAAUAUUUUAUAAUAUGUCUUUUUUAUUCAAUAUAUUGAAUGUUAUAUAAUUAAAAAAAAUUAUUCUGUAAUUGUAACUAUAUAAUAUUACUAAAUUGUAUAGAUUAUUUCGUAUAAAACCAUAUUAAAAAAAGAGACUUGAUUAAAUUACCCCAUAGAAAUAGAGUAUAAUACCCUAAAUUUUAUAAGAAACUAUUUUAUUAAUUAAAUAUGAUUUUAAAUAAUCAAUUUGAUGUUAAAAUUAUUUUAGAAUAUCUGUUGAUAAAUUUUGUGGCUAAUUUUCGUUAUAUCGAUGUUUUCUAUGAUGUGUUAGUUUGAUAGAUACUAUAUUAAAUGAGCGAUAUAAAUAAUAAAUAUUUUUUUUAAAUAAUAGUAUUUAGUGUAAUAUUUUAAAGAAUAAUAUUUUAUACAAUUUUAAGUGUAUAUGUGAGUUGAUAAUUAAUAUGAUUAUUUUCUUAUAUAUUUGACUAAUGUUAAGUGUGUACAUAUUUAUAUUUUAAUCAUUUUUAAGUAUCUCUUAUUUUAAUUAUUUCUAAAUAUAUCUUACUUUAAUUAUUUAUUCUAUAAAUAAUUAUCUUGAGAUCGUAGUAAUAUUGUAUUUGAUUUUCUUUAUUUUUAUAGACUUAUUUUGGAAUUGUGAUUAUGUAUAUAUAUAUAUAUAUAUAUAUAUAUAUAUAUAUUAUGAUUUAGUAAUUAACAUAAAGUAUUGAUGUUAUAUUUAUUUAUUUUAUAAUUUUGACUAUUCUCUAAUGAUAAUAUUAUUCUAACGUGAGUAUUUUGAAAAAUAAGUAAAAUUAUAGUGAUUAAUUUGAAUGUGAGAAUUUGGUUGUUAUUAAUAUGUAUUUCUUUUUAAAGGUUAAUUAUUUUAAUUACUCUAAUUCAUCAUAUAUUAGUUAUGAAAUAUUAGUAACGUUUUGAAAAUUUAUUGAUGUUUGGAAGAGUAUUAAAAAUGAGUUUAAGUAACAAUUGAUUUUGUUAUAGCAAAAUAAAAAUCAUAACAGUAAAACAUAAAAUAAAUAAGGAGACCGAUGGGUUUGACCCAUAUAUGUUAACCCUAAUUAUGUCGAUAAAAUAAAAAAUAAAGAAUAAGAAAUGGAGCUUCAACAGCCGUAGAACCAAAGAGUAAACAUAACAACAACCUAUCGUUUGACAUCGGUGAUCGAGACCUGUUCCAGAAAAGUUUCUCCGUUUUCGUCCAAAUUUCAGUAUGUUGUUUUACUCAUUUAGCUAGUCAAUUGAACACAAUUUUCUAGAUUUUUAACAACCCAAAUUUUGCUCUAAAAUACCUAAUUUCUCUGGUUUUAGAAUUAAUUAUUUUGCAUCGUUCUCCUUCACCGUAAAUCCGAUUUCAGUGAAAUCAACGCCAAAACGACUGGGUGAAAAGUGGCUAUAUUAUCCCUUGAUUGCUUUUCUAAUUUAUGGUAAGUUUCCUUGAUCGAAUUUCGAAAUUUAGUUUUUAGAGUGCCUUCUCAUAAUUUAAUUUAACGUUCACCCAUAAAUUGUCGAGUUAGAUCGAUUGAAGGACAAAGGUUGUUUUCUUGAGGAAUCAUAUUCAUGUGCGAAAGCGUCAAAAUAAGGUAAGGGGUGAGAGAGCAUUUGAAUUCAUGAGUAUAAUAUAAUUUGAGAUGAACGGGAAAACCGUAUUUCCCAACGAUUCAUUCGGGGCUCACUACGUACGGCAGUAGCCCUUUGAGUGAUAAAUUGAUUAAUGUAAAAAUAUGGGAAUUGUGAGAUUAAAAUAUGCAAUAGAAAUAUUUAUAGGGUGUUGAUUGAUUUAACUUCGUUAAAUGUGUGAUAUUUGAUAUUAUUGUGAUGUUUGAUUAUUAUUUUUUUAUUAAAUGUGUGAUAUUUGAUAUUAUUGUGAUAUUAGAUGUUGAAUGAAUUUUAUGUAUAUGUUUGAUUAGAAGUGUUUAUGUGAUGUGAUACUAAAAAUUGAAUUCAUUUUGAUACGUUUGUGUGAUUAUGAUGAUGUAUAAUUAAUAAUAAUGAUGUUAUAAUUUUGUGUCAAGCCUAUGUGAUGAUGUAUGAUUGAUGAUAGUGAUGCUAUAUAUUUGUAAUGAGUUUAUGUGAUGAGAUAUGAUUAAUGAUAUUGAUGUUGUGAAUUUUUUAUGAGUAUUUAAGUAACCCCAUAGUUGGUAAAAUAAUUGUGAUUCCAAUUUGUGUUUGAGAUGACGGUCUUAAUGAAUUAUCAUAGGCCAACGAGGGGAGAAAAUAAAUAUUGAGAAAUAUAAAGUGAAUAUUAUUUUGUCAUCAUAUCGGGAAGGUCUGACAAGCCUAGAAAUUUCGGGGAAGUACAACUAAAUGAGCCUGAUCAUGGCGGUGUGCUGUAGAGCCUUCAGGCAAGAUUGUUAGACCUUGGAGGUAUUCGUGUGGGGAAUUUCUAGGUGACUUGGAGGUAGCACUCCAAAUGUCGGGAGCUACCACGCAACACACGUUUACCUCGACUGUUACGUAUAUGUGUCUCGGGUUGAGUUGAGGGGAUCUAUGAGGACAGGGCCAAUUUGAAUUGUCCGUCCACUGGGAUGGUGGCAUAGUAUCAAGCCUCCUAACCAAGUACUUUAGAGUUAGAAUAGUAUCAAGCCUCCUAACCAAGUAGAGUCUAAGCUCACGCGUAGCAUUGCAUUUUAUUGUGAUUGUUUUGUUGUGAUUAAUAUGUAUCGUGUGUGGUAUUAAUUUAUCUUAGACGAUUUCAUGUUAUAGUGAAAUUUAUUAAUUUUCCUUGAGUGAUUUUGAGUUUUUAAUGUGAUAUUUUCUUGAUGGAAUGUUUGUGUAAUGAUAAGGUUCUAUUAUGAUUGUUUGUGUGUUCUUGUUACUUGUAUUAUACUUUUAUCAUGAUUUCGAAACUCACCUCCUUCGUUGUUUGUGUUUGACUAGCGUGGCCCUGCCUUUGCAAAAUCGCAGUUAUUACAGGUUAAUGAGUCUUGAAGUUCAAGUUUGGGAGGAACCUCGCUCUGAUAGGUGAUACAGGGAAUAAGGGUUUUAAUUUGUAUUUUACUUAUUUAAUUUGAAAAGAAUUUUUGUAUGAAAAUCUUAGAAGUACUAGUAAAUUUUUAAAAUUAAAUCAAGUAAUUAUACUUAAAUGAAGCUUAUUGAGAUUGCACUAUUUUAAUGAGGAAAAUAAGUUUAAAGUGUUCUUUUUAUUUUUGAGAAACGUGAUAUCCGAAUUAAAAAUAAAAGUUUUUAUUUUCUUGGAAAUAGAUUUUUAUUUAUCCGCUACAAAUUUUAUAGGAAUAUGAUAUGAUUUAUUAUAUAUAUUAUUUUGGGGUUUAGGGUGUUACAUUUGUGGUAUCAGAGCAGGCCUGUCCAAUCAGGCCGAGUGGGUUGAGUGUCGAUUCAAUGUGAGUCAGACGUCAGUCGUAUCAAUUGUAUUUUCUUGUGUAUUGAUUAUUUUCAGUAUCAUGUUUUUUUCUCUCGUUAUAUUAUUGUCUUAUGUGAUGUAUGCUUUUGUAUAAUUGUACAUAUUUUUGAAGUUACUAAUUAACUAUUUACUAUCUUCGUACUCUAAUUGUGUUGUGUUGUGGAUUCUAAGUUCCUAUUUAAGUGAUUAAAUAUAAUAGGAAAUUAUUUCUUAAAAUUUAUGUUAAUUUGAAUUGUUGACAUGAUUGAGUUAAUUACCUUUUGAUUUGAUUUGUGUUUAUAACUUUGAUUUUUUGCUCUUUCGUUAUAGUAGAUAAUUAGAAAUAAUUUUUUCUAUUGAUGGGCUACUAUAAGUUUGAAAUUAUGAAUUUAAUUGGUGUGAUACAAAUUAUCGAUUGAUAGACCUUGUCUUUAAGGUCAUUACAUGAUUAUUAAAAUUUUGAUCUUGCUAAUGUAGUCAAUUUAGAAAGUUAGCGGUGAUUUUGAAGUAGUAGCAAAUUCAUAUUAAUAAUAAUAAUAAUAAUUCUUGAAUAUUAGAUGGUGGUAGAACUUAGAAGUUUAAAAAAAAAUUACGUGAAAGAGUUAGAGUUGACUUAUUUUGUAAAAUAAAAAGUAACUUUUGUUUGAAGUACUCUGGAUUAUUUCAAAAAAAAAAAAAAAUUAAAUUGAGUUGAAUUUUUAUUGUUCAUAAAGUAACAAUAAUUCUAUAUUAUAGAUUUUAUUUACUACUUAAAAUAGCUGAAAAUUUACACCAUAAUUUACGAUGUGUAAUUUUUAAGAAAAUAAAAAAGAUUUGUUGUGAUGUUGGUUUAGAGGGGAUGUGGAUAGUGAAUUUGGGGUGUUAGGAUAUUUGUUUGAAAUUAUUUAUUUAGAUAAUAUUAACUUAUAAGAGUUUAACUUGAUAUUAGAGUCUUAGAUUUUAAGAACUCAGUAGUGAUUUAUAAUGGUACAAAAAAGGUCACAUGAUAAAAUGUCUACUAAUUGAGAAAGAGAAAGAAAACCAAAAAAAAAUAUUAAUUAUUAUUAUUAUUUUAUUGAAAUACAAUUUAGAGAGAAAAAAAGGAUGUUUCUUUCUAAACUUUGAGUUCAAUGGAAAAUAUAUCUCUUAUGUUUAAAGUUUUAAUUUUGACUAGAAAAUCCUUAUUUUUUUAUUUUAAAUUGAUAUAUGAAAAAAAAACUUGAGAUUGUCUUCAUUAGUAUUGUUAUUGGUUUUAAGUUAAUGGUGUAGAUAUUAUUGUCAAUUAAAAAUCUUGUCUUGAAAAAUAGUUAUGAAAUUUAAAAAUUCAGUUUUUAUAUGGGCACUUAACUUGAUUUUAUCAAAAGUGAAAAUCACUUGAAAAUGUUGAUGGUUGUAUCUAAUUGAUUAAAANNNNNNNNNNNNNNNNNNNNNNNNNNNNNNNNNNNNNNNNNNNNNNNNNNNNNNNNNNNNNNNNNNNNNNNNNNNNNNNNNNNNNNNNNNNNNNNNNNNNNNNNNNNNNNNNNNNNNNNNNNNNNNNNNNNNNNNNNNNNNNNNNNNNNNNNNNNNNNNNNNNNNNNNNNNNNNNNNNNNNNNNNNNNNNNNNNNNNNNNNNNNNNNNNNNNNNNNNNNNNNNNNNNNNNNNNNNNNNNNNNNNNNNNNNNNNNNNNNNNNNNNNNNNNNNNNNNNNNNNNNNNNNNNNNNNNNNNNNNNNNNNNNNNNNNNNNNNNNNNNNNNNNNNNNNNNNNNNNNNNNNNNNNNNNNNNNNNNNNNNNNNNNNNNNNNNNNNNNNNNNNNNNNNNNNNNNNNNNNNNNNNNNNNNNNNNNNNNNNNNNNNNNNNNNNNNNNNNNNNNNNNNNNNNNNNNNNNNNNNNNNNNNNNNNNNNNNNNNNNNNNNNNNNNNNNNNNNNNNNNNNNNNNNNNNNNNNNNNNNNNNNNNNNNNNNNNNNNNNNNNNNNNNNNNNNNNNNNNNNNNNNNNNNNNNNNNNNNNNNNNNNNNNNNNNNNNNNNNNNNNNNNNNNNNNNNNNNNNNNNNNNNNNNNNNNNNNNNNNNNNNNNNNNNNNNNNNNNNNNNNNNNNNNNNNNNNNNNNNNNNNNNNNNNNNNNNNNNNNNNNNNNNNNNNNNNNNNNNNNNNNNNNNNNNNNNNNNNNNNNNNNNNNNNNNNNNNNNNNNNNUUUUAGUUUUAUGAUUGUUAUAUUAACUUCGAGUAAAAAUAGUUGCUUACUUUACUUGCUAAUUGAAAAAUAUUUGUUUUAAUUUUGUUAAAUGAUAAAGAUUGAUUAAAAAAGAUGGUGAAUUAUUAAUUUAAUUGUGAUAAAUUUCUGGUUGUUGGAUAGCUAUGAGAAUAUUUUACAUCAUGAUGCUAAUUAUUGAAUUACUUAUAUGUAUGUAUAUGUGAUUAGGUGAAUAUGAAAGUGUUUGUGUUUCAGAUGUUCUAAGUGUUGGGAAUUUGUGAAUAGUUUUUAGCGUAAUUGAGUGCUUAAAAGGGAAAUAAUGCUAUAUUUCUUUAUUUUAAUUGGCGAUUCAUAUUGAUGUAAGUGUCAUUUCUUUUAUUGUUAUACCUAGUUGUAAAUUAUAAAUAAUUAUUGGAAAUGUGUAAUUAAGUGGGUUAAGGAGUAGGAGUUGUGGUGUCGCCUUCGCACUUCCGAACCACGUUAAAGAUACUCUUAAUUACCCAUAUUUGAAGUUUGAUGACGCAAUUAUGGUUAUCCUAAGUAGUUGACUACAUGAGUAAUAGAGACUAGCUACCCCGAUGACUCAUCGUCGAUAAAAGAGGCAACAAUAACCCAUUGAGUGAUUAUAAGUUUUAUGUGACAUCAAUGUUGAAUGCCGAUAAUGGUUUAUGUAGCAUGAAUAAUGGUUGGAGUGAAUUUUAAAACUAUGUGAAAAUAUUUGUCCACUUCCACCAUGUUUAUGUCCUCUAGUUCUUGAUUUGUAAGAAAUUGCUUAUGAUACGGAUUUUUAUGUGUGUCUCUAUUUAAAAUUCAUAAGGGUAUGAAAUAAUUGAAAUAUUGCUCCAUCUUUCUUACUUAAGGGAAACUUGUUGAGAAAGUGAUAAUAUUUAAAUUUGUUUAGAGUAAAACUAAAAAAUCAUUGUUUGAGUAGUUAGUUGAAGUUAAUAAUUCAUUUGACAUAUUUUCGUUUCAUUGAGUUUGAGGUAGUAAGUUGGUGGUUACUAAAUCUAUAAGUUUGUUUAUUUCGUAAAUUAUAGUGGGUAAUUGUGGUAUUUCAUUCAUGAUUGAAAUAUUAGUUGUGAUUGCUUAAAUGAUUCGUUGUGUCAUGUUAGUCUGUACUUAAAUGAGUAUUGAUUACAUUUAAUAUGUUUAUAGACUAAGUUUGAAUCUUGAGGGUGAAUAGUUAGAUGUCAGUUCACUUAUUAUUUACUUCAAAUUUGGAGGACGAAAUUUCUUAAACAAUGGGAGAAUUGUAACACCCUAAAUUUUAUAAUAAACUGUUUUAUUAAUUAAAUAGGAUUUUAAAUAAUUAAUUUGAUGUUGAAAUUAUUUUAGAAUAUAUGUUAAUAAAUUUUGUGACUAAUUUUCGUUAUAUUGAUGUUUUCUAUGAUGAGCUAGUUUGAUAGAUACUAUAUUAAAUGAGCAAUAUAAAUAAUAAAUAUAUUUUUUAAUUAUUUUAUAUAUUUUUCUAAAAAUAAUAGUAUUUUAGUGUAAUAUUUUAAACAAAUAAGAUUUUAUUCGAUUUUAAGUGUAUAUGUUUGUUGAUAACUAAUAUGAUAUUUUCUUAUAUGUUUGACUACUGUUAAGUGUGUACAUAUUUAUAUUUUAAUCAUUUUUAAGUAUCUCUUAUUUUAAUUAUUUCUAAAUAUAUCUUACUUUAAUUAUUUUUUUGAUAAUAUUUUUAUAUAUAUAUAUAUAUAUAUAUAUAUAUAUAUAUAUAUAUAUAUAUAUAUAUAUAUAUAUUAUGAUUUAGUAAUUAACAUAAAAUAUUGUUGUUAUAUUUAUUUAUUUUAUAAUUUUGACUAUUCUCUAAUGAUAAUAUUAUUCUAACGUGAGUAUUUUGAAAAAAUAAGUAAAAUUGUAGUGAUUAAUUUGAAUAUGAGAGUUUGGCUUGUUACUAAUAUAUAUAUAUUUUUUAAAGGUUAAUUAUUUUAAUUACUCUAAUUCAUCAUAUAUUAGUUAUGAAAUAUUAGUAAUGUUUUGAAAAUUAAUUGAUGUUUGGAAGAGUAUUAAAAAUGAGAUUAAGUAACAAUUGAUUUUGUUUUAGCAAAAUAAAAAUAAUAACAUUAAAACAUAAAAUAAAUAACGGGACCAAUGGGUUUGACCCAUAUAUGUUAACUCUAAUUAUGUUGAUAAAAUAAAAAAAAUAAAGAAUAAGAAAGGGAGCUUCAACAGUCGUAGAACUAAAGAGUAAUUACAACAACAACAUAUUGUUUGGCAUCGGUGAUCGAGAACUGUCUCGGAAAAGUUUUUCUGUUUUCGUCCAAAUUUCAGUAUGUUGUUUUACUCAUUUAGCUAGUUAAUUAAAUACAAUUUUUUUAGAUUUUUAACAACUCCAAUUUCGCUCUAAAAUACUCGACUUCUCCGGUUGUGGAAUUCAUUAUUUUGCAUCGUUCUCCUUCACCGUAAGUCCGCUUUCAGUGAAACCAACACCAAAACGACCGUGUGAAAAGUGACUAUAUUAUCCAUUGAUUGGCUUUCUGAUUUAUGGUAAGUUUCCUUGAUCGAAUUUCGAAAUUUAGUUUUUAGCGCGUCUUCUCAUAAUUUAAUUUAACGUUCACCCAUAUAUUGUCGAGUUAGAUCGAUUGAAGGACAAAGAGUCAAAGGACAAAGGCUGUUUUCUUGUGGAAUCAUAUUCAUGUGUGAAAGCGUCAAAAUAAGUUAAGGAGUGAGAGAGCGUUUGAAUUCAUGAGUAUAAUAUAAUAUCAUUUGGGGCUCGCUACAUACGGCAGUAGCCUUUUGAGUAAUAAAUUGAUUAAGGUAAAAAUAUUGGAAUUGUGAGAUUAAAAUAUGGAAUAGAAAUAUUUAUAAGAUAUUGAUUGAUUACUUCGUUAAAUGUGUGAUAUUUGAUAUUAGAUUUUGAAUGAAUUUUAUGUAUAUGUUUGAUUACACGUGUUUAUGUGAUGUGAUAAUAAAAAUUGAAUUAUUUUGAUACGUUUGCGUGAUUAUGAUGAUAUAUAAUUAAUAAUAAUGAUGUUAUAAAUUUGUGUCAAGCCUAUGUGAUGAUGUAUGAUUGAUGAUAGUGAUGCUAUAUAUUUGUAAUGAGUUUAUGUGAUGAUAUAUGAUUAAUGAUAUUGAUGUUGUGAAUUUUUUAUGAGUAUUUAAGUAACCCCAUAGUUGGUAAAAUAAUUGUGAUUCCAAUUUGUGUUUGAGAUGACGGUCUUAAUGAAUUAUCAUAGGCCAACGAGGGGAGAAAAUAAAUAUUGAGAAAUAUAAAGUGAAUAUUAUUUUGUCAUCAUAUCGGGAAGGUCUGACAAGCCUAGAAAUUUCGGGGAAGUACAACUAAAUGAGCCUGAUCAUGGCGGUCUGCUGUAGAGCCUUCAGGCAAGAUUGUUAGACCUUGGAGGUAUUCGGGUGGGGAAUUUCUAGGUGACUUGGAGGUAGCACUCCAAAUGUCGGGAGCUACCACGCAACACACGUUUACCUCGACUGUUACGUAUAUGUGUCUCGGGUUGAGUUGAGGGGAUCUAUGAGGACAGGGCCAAUUUGAAUUGUCCGUCCACUGGGAUGGUGGCAUAGUAUCAAGCCUCCUAACCAAGUACUUUAGAGUUAGAAUGGUACCACAUUGUGAAGUAGAGUCUAAGCUCAUGCAUAGCAUUGCAUUUUAUUGUGAUUGUUUUGUUGUGAUUAAUAUGUAUCGUGUGUGGUAAUAAUUUAUCUUAGACGAUUUCAUGUUAUAGUGAAAUUUAUUAAUUUUCCUUGAGUGAUUUUGAGUUUUUAAUGUGAUAUUUUCUUGAUUGAAUGUUUAUGUAAUGAUAAGGUUCUAUUAUGAUUGUUUGUGUGUUCUUCUUACUUGUAUUAUACUUUUAUCAUGAUUUCGAAACUCACCUCCUUCGUUGUUUGUGUUUGACUGGCGUGGCCCUGCCUUUGCAAAAUCGCAGUUAUUACAGGUUAAUGAGUCUUGAAGUUCAAGUUUGGGAGGAACCUCGCUCUGAUAGGUGAUACAGGGAAUAAGGGUUUUAAUUUGUAUUUUACUUAUUUAAUUUGAAAAGAAUUUUUGUAUGAAAAUCUUAGAAGUACUAGUAAAUUUUUAAAAUUAAAUCAAGUAAUUAUACUUAAAUGAAGCUUAUUGAGAUUGCACUAUUUUAAUGAGGAAAAUAAGUUUAAAGUGUUCUUUUUUUUUUUUUAGAAACGUGAUAUCCGAAUUAAACAUAAAAGUUUUUAUUUUCUUGGAAAUAGAUUUUUAUUUAUCCGCUGCUAAUUUUAUAGGAAUAUGAUAUAAUUUAUUAUAUAAAUUGUUUUGGGGUUUAGGGUGUUACAUAAAGUAUAUGAGAAAUUAAUAAUAGUGAAGAGAAAUUCACAGCUACUAUUGUAGUCAGGGACGUGUCAAUGAUUUUGGAAGUUUAAUUCGUAUUUAAAAAUUGAGUCCUCUAAAAUUACAAAACUCUAACAUUUAGAUUCAAUAUUCUAAUAUCUGUUGAUGAAUGACGGCGUCUUGUAGGUUACGGCUGCUGCACAUAUUCACCGUGGUGGAAAUUUAAGUUUUAUUCUGGAUAUAAGAUUUAAAUAUAAAAAGUGGUAUUCAUUCUAGACAAAAGAUAUAAAUAUAAAAUUUUAAAGUGUUCAACUUACAAAAUUAAAAUAUCAAUAUAAUUUUUUAAAGAUUAAAGUAUAUUGUAAGAAAAGUUUGAAAUCCUCCCUAAUUGGAGAUGUCAUGCUAAUAUUUUGAUUGCACUUAUUGAUAAUUAACCCUAACCGGAGUGUAGAUACCUUUCACAAACUCAGAAUUUGUUUUUAAUUAAAAAGUAUACUAUAAUAAUGAGUAGGCACCAAUAGUAUCUUUGCUUAAAAAUAAUAUUAGUUUCAAAAUUGUCAAGGUAGCAAGUUCCAAAAUUCAAUAACUGGUUGAUAUUUAGUAUAAGCUAAAUUAUUAAAAAUAAUUAUUUGUUUAUUACUUUACUAUUUUCGGAAGUUAUUGAUAAAGGAAAAUAAUUAAUAGAUUAUAGAUGGUGAAUUUACCUUAGAUAUAUACCAGUAUUUGUGUAUUUACAAUGUUUUUAACAAUCUCGCAUAUUAUAAUCAUAUUCAUAGAUAUAAAGAAUUUUCUUUAUGUUUAAUUUAGUUCUUCGGUUAAGUUAUUUAAUUUUUUUAUUUAAUCAUUUAAGUGACACGUCGUUUGUAAUAAAUUUUAUACUUUGAUUUGUUUGCAUAACUAGAUUGUUUUUAGAGAUUUUAAUAAUUAAAUGUCAUGCUGCGGUUAUAAUGUUAACGUGUGUAUAAUAAUACGAGUGCGAUAAUUAUAAAAAUAAAUGAUUAUCAUAUUAAUCUUUUAUGUUUUGUUUAGAAAAAUUCUAAGAACCACAUUGACUUUUCAUUUUUUAGGUUAGAAGAAUUUUAAGAAUUUUUAAAAUUUUUUAUUUUUAAGAAAAAUGAAUUUAAAAAAUAUAUUUAUUUUUUAUUUUGCAACAUCAACACUAUUAUAAACAUAUUAAUAACUUAAAGGCCACAUUAUAUUUUUUUAACAGAACUUAUAAAAAAUAACAUUAUAUUUAUGUAAGUGUAUUAUAACUUAAAAGUUAAGUAGCUAAUGAGAUACAAAUUAAAUGACUAAAUCAAAAAUAAAUAAAUAAAACUUAUAGACAUCAAAGGAAAUUGAGAAAAAUUUAGAAGAGUAAUUUUUUUAUCGUGUCAAUAACUAUUUUUUAUUGACAACGUAUGAUAAUUAUGUUUACCGAAAGUCUAGAAUUAUGUUUAUUAUUAAAGAAAUUAUCAAGCAACCUCGUAGUUGUCAAAGUUUAAACACUUUACCUACCUCAAUAACCCUUCAAUGGCUCAAUGUUCUCGAAAUCCAAUUAAAUAAUAUAUUAUUUAAUAAAUCUACUUUUGAUUUUCAUACCUAUUUAUCUUGCUGAGUAUAUUCAUAUGUUUCACAACAAUUAAAUUCUUAGAAAUUGUAGUGAUGAAAAUCAAAGCUUUUAAUUUGUGUUUCCUUUGUGCAUUGUUUCUUUUAUCUGUUGUGGCAACAGAGACAUUAAAAGAAGGUAAACAAUAUACAAAAGAGUCAAAGAAAAAUGUUUUGGUAGAUAAGCUUGAUGGUGGGCGAAAACCCAUAGAUAUAGAAUCUUUUGAUCAAAAUAAGCCCGUUGGUGCGGGAAAUUUAACAAGGGAAGAAAGGAUUAUGGCAUUGAAAGCAGAGAUGAAAGCAAAGAUGAAGGAAAGGGAAGCAAAGAAGAAGGAAAGGGAAGCAAAGCUGAAGGAAUUGGAAGCAAAGAAGACGGAAAGAAAAUUACACC